rnacentral:rRNA from 1 species
GAUGAACGCUGGCGGCGUGCUUAACACAUGCAAGUCGAGCGAGAAGUUUUGAAAAGAUUCUUCGGAUGAAAUUUAAAAUGGAAAGCGGCGGACGGGUGAGUAACGCGUAGGCAACCUGCCCCAUACAAAGGGAUAGCAUUUGGAAACGAAUAUUAAUACCUUAUGAAACUUAACUAGUGCAUGCUAGGUAGGUCAAAGAUUUAUCGGUAUGGGAUGGGCCUGCGUCUGAUUAGCUAGUUGGUGAGGUAACGGCUCACCAAGGCGACGAUCAGUAGCCGACCUGAGAGGGUGAACGGCCACAUUGGAACUGAGACACGGUCCAAACUCCUACGGGAGGCAGCAGUGGGGAAUAUUGCACAAUGGGGGAAACCUUGAUGCAGCAACGCCGCGUGAACGAUGAAGGCCUUUGGGUCGUAAAGUUCUGUUCUAGGUGAUGAAAACUGACAGUAACCUAGGAGAAAGCCCCGGCUAACUCCGUG